rnacentral:rRNA from 1 species
GACGAACGCUGGCGGCGUGCCUAAUACAUGCAAGUGGGACGCAAGGGAACACACUGUGCUUGCACACCGUGUUUUCUUGAGUCGCGAACGGGUGAGUAACGCGUAGGUAACCUGCCUAUUAGCGGGGGAUAACUAUUGGAAACGAUAGCUAAUACCGCAUAAUAUUAAUUAUUGCAUGAUAAUUGAUUGAAAGAUGCAAGCGCAUCACUAGUAGAUGGACCUGCGUUGUAUUAGCUAGUUGGUAAGGUAAGAGCUUACCAAGGCGACGAUACAUAGCCGACCUGAGAGGGUGAUCGGCCACACUGGGACUGAGACACGGCCCAGACUCCUACGGGAGGCAGCAGUAGGGAAUCUUCGGCAAUGGACGAAAGUCUGACCGAGCAACGCCGCGUGAGUGAAGAAGGUUUUCGGAUCGUAAAGCUCUGUUGUAAGUCAAGAACGUGUGUGAGAGUGGAAAGUCAC